rnacentral:lncRNA from 1 species
GAAAAAUCCUUGUCUUCCAAUAAUCUCCAGGUCUUCCAGUCAAUGUCUUCCUGAAGAUCUAUGUCUUCCAGAAUAUCCGUAUCUUCCUGUAACCUCCCAGUCUUCCAGCAAAUCCACGUCUUCCGGGCACUUCAGGUCUUCCUGAAAAUCCAGGUCUUCCAAAAAACUCAUGUCUUCCAGAAAAUCCACGUCUUCCAGAGAAUUCUGGUCUUCCAUCAAAUCCAUGGCUUCCAAGAAAUCCACGUCUUCCUGCUAAUCUAUGUCUUCCAAAAAAUCCACGUCUUCCAGCAAAGCCAUGUCUUCCAGAAUAAUUCAUGUCUUCCAACAAAGCUACGUCUUCCAGAAAAUACAUGUCUUCCAGCAAAUCUGCGUCUUCCAGCAAAUCCACGUCUUCCAGAAAAAAACCUGUCUUCCAGCAAAUCCCUGUCUUCAGAAAAUCCACGUCUUCCAGAAAACCCACGUCUUCCAGAAAAUCCAUGUCUUCCUGCACCUUCAGGUCUUCCAGCAUCUCCAGGGCUUCCAGCAUCUGCUCGUCUUCCUACAUCUCUGCAUCUUCCAGCAUCAUCACGUCUUCCAACAUCUCCAGGUCUUCCAACAACUACCCAGUCUUCCAUCAGCGGGCUCAAUAUCUACGUCUUCCAAUGUCUUCAGUGUGCUGGUCUAACAUUAAGGUCUUCCAGUCUCUGCAAUAUCCAGUUUUUCAUGAGGGAACACUUGGAUCUUCAUGGAGCAGAAAAAUUUUGUUCACGGGAUCAACAUUGUGGCAUAGAGGGUAAAGCUGCUGCCUGCAGUGCCAGCAUUCCAUAUGGGCACCAGUUCAAGACCGGGCAGCUCCACUUCUGA